UACGGGGGGGGGCUAGCGUUGUUCGGAAUUACUGGGCGUAAAGGGCGCGUAGGCGGUUCAUUAAGUUGGAUGUGAAAACUCUGGGCUUAACCCAGAGCCUGCAUUCAAAACUGAUGGGCUGGAGUUCUGGAGGGGAUAGCGGAAUUCCUGGUGUAGCGGUGAAAUGCGUAGAUAUCAGGAGGAACACCGGUGGCGAAGGCGGCUAUCUGGACAGAAACUGACGCUGAGGCGCGAAAGCUAGGGGAGCAAACAGG
rnacentral:rRNA from 1 species